GAUGAACGCUGGCGGCGUGCCUAAUACAUGCAAGUCGAGCGAACAGACGAGGAGCUUGCUCCUCUGACGUUAGCGGCGGACGGGUGAGUAACACGUGGAUAACCUACCUAUAAGACUGGGAUAACUUCGGGAAACCGGAGCUAAUACCGGAUAAUAUAUUGAACCGCAUGGUUCAAUAGUGAAAGACGGCUUUGCUGUCUCUUAUAGAUGGAUCCGCGCCGCAUUAGCUAGUUGGUAAGGUAACGGCUUACCAAGGCAACGAUGCGUAGCCGACCUGAGAGGGUGAUCGGCCACACUGGAACUGAGACACGGUCCAGACUCCUACGGGAGGCAGCAGUAGGGAAUCUUCCGCAAUGGGCGAAAGCCUGACGGAGCAACGCCGCGUGAGUGAUGAAGGUCUUCGGAUCGUAAAACUCUGUUAUUAGGGAAGAACAGAUGUGGAAGUAACUAUGCACGUCUUGACGGUACCUAAUCAGAAAGCCACGGCUAACUACGUG
rnacentral:rRNA from 1 species